ACUCCUACGGGAGGCAGCAGUGGGGAAUCUUGCGCAAUGGGCGAAAGCCUGACGCAGCAACGCCGCGUGGGGGAUGAAGGCCUUCGGGUUGUAAACCCCUUUCAGCAGGGACGAAUCUGACGGUACCUGCAGAAGAAGCCCCGGCCAACUACGUGCCAGCAGCCGCGGUAAUACGUAGGAGGCGAGCGUUAUCCGGAUUUACUGGGCG
rnacentral:rRNA from 1 species